UAUGUUGCAAGCUUGUGAGAUGAGGCACUGUCUACCUGUGGAUGGGAUUACUUAUUGCUUGCAAUAAAAUGGUGGUUUCCUGAAGUCUCCUCGACAAUGCUGAGGCAUGAAUGCAGCUGCUAGAAAAAGAGCCAAAGACCUGGAGAAUAGGGCAGGAUUCAUUUCCUGUUAACCCAGAGGAAAGCCGCCUUCAUUUCCUCCUAACUUCCGGCAGAGACAGCUUCAGGGCCAUGGGAGAGGGUUGGGGCUUUGGACUGGAAAGAGAGAGGUGUUUUUGGACUAUCCCUUUCUUUGUAUCUGGUGGUAAUAGAUUUAGAAGGACCCUAUUUGGAUUCCGUGAAGCAAA